AUAGGGACCUGUAUGAAUGGCAUAACGAGGGCUUAACUGUCUCCUUUUUCAAGUCAAUGAAAUUGAUCUCCGCGUGCAGAAGCGGGGAUAAACACAUAAGACGAGAAGACCCUGUGGAGCUUUAGACGUCCGGGCAGAUCAUGUUAAGCACCCCUAAAUACAGAUCCAAACUAAAUGAAUCCUGCCCCCAUGUC
rnacentral:rRNA from 1 species